AACGAACGCUGGCGGCAGGCUUAACACAUGCAAGUCGAGCGCACCGCAAGGUGAGCGGCAGACGGGUGAGUACCGCGUGGGAAUCUACCCAACCCUACGGAAUAACCCAGGGACACUUGGACUAAUACCGUAUACGCCCUUUUGGGGAAAGAUUUAUCGGGGAUGGAUGAGCCCGCGUUGGAUUAGCUAGUUGGUGGGGUAAAGGCCUACCAAGGCGACGAUCCAUAGCUGGUCUGAGAGGAUGAUCAGCCACAUUGGGACUGAGACACGGCCCAAACUCCUACGGGAGGCAGCAGUGGGGAAUAUUGGACAAUGGGCGCAAGCCUGAUCCAGCCAUGCCGCGUGAGUGAUGAAGGCCUUAGGGUUGUAAAGCUCUUUCAGUAGGGAAGAUAAUGACGGUACCUACAGAAGAAGCCCCGGCUAACUUCGUG
rnacentral:rRNA from 1 species